AUGUGGUCUCAACUGCUGCGGCCGCUGCGGGGCUGGGCAGCCCGGGCACUGCGGGGCUUGGGCGGGAGAUCCCCGGCAUCCCCGCCCCAGGCUCCUGGCCGCCGGGGGCGCAGCACCGCGCCUGGCUUCCUGAUAAAGGUAGAGAAAAUGAAAAGGAGAAAAAAUCAGUGAUUUGUGUUGAGGGCAAUAUUGCAAGUGGGAAGAUGACAUGCCUGGAGUUCUUCUCCAACACGACAGACGUUGAGGUGCUAAUGGAGCCUGUGCCCAAAUGGAGAAAUGUCCGUGGCCAUAACUCUCUGGGUCUGAUGUACCAAGAUGCCUGUCGGUGGGGGCUCACCCUGCAGACAUAUGUGCAGCUCACCAUGCUGGACCAGCACACAUCACCAGUUCAGUUGAUGGAGAGGUCCAUUUACGGUGCAAGAUACAUUUUUGUAGAAAACCUGUAUAGAAGUGGGAAGAUGCCUGAUAUGUGGUUCUGUCCGAAUGGUUUGACUGGAUUGUGAGGAACAUCCAGGUGUCGGUGGAUCUGAUAGUUUAUCUCCGGACCACUCCUGAGAUCUGUUACCAGAGAUUAAAGAUGAGGUGCAGGGAAGAGGAGAAGGUCAUUCCACUGGAGUACCUGGAUGCUGUUCACCGCCUCUAUGAGGAGUGGCUCAUCACAGGAAGCCUCUUCCCAGCUGCGGCCCCUGUUCUGGUGAUCGAUGCUGACCACAGCAUGGAGAAAAUGUUACAGCUCUUUGAACAAAACCGGGCCUGGAUGUUUACUCCUGAGAAUUGGAAGCGUGGCCCGUAG